rnacentral:tRNA from 1 species
GCGGGUAUCGUAUAGUGGUAAUACCCCAGUUUUCCAAACUGGCGUCGGGGGUUCGAUUCCCCCUACCCGCU